AACGAACGCUGGCGGCAUGCCUAACACAUGCGAGUCGAACGAGACCUUCGGGUCUAGUGGCGCACGGGUGCGUAACGCGUGGGAACCUGCCCUUAGGUUCGGAAUAACUCCCCGAAAGGGGUGCUAAUACCGGAUAAUGUCUUCGGACCAAAGAUUUAUCGCCUUUGGAUGGGCCCGCGUUGGAUUAGCUAGUUGGUAGGGUAAAAGCCUACCAAGGCGACGAUCCAUAGCUGGUCUGAGAGGAUGAUCAGCCACACUGGGACUGAGACACGGCCCAGACUCCUACGGGAGGCAGCAGUGGGGAAUAUUGGACAAUGGGCGAAAGCCUGAUCCAGCAAUGCCGCGUGUGUGAUGAAGGCCUUAGGGUUGUAAAGCUCUUUUACCCGGGAUGAUAAUGACAGUACCGGGAGAAUAAGCUCCGGCUAACUCCGUG
rnacentral:rRNA from 1 species